rnacentral:rRNA from 1 species
AUUGAACGCUGGCGGCAGGCCUAACACAUGCAAGUCGAACGAGUAGCGGACGGGUGAGUAAUGUCUGGGAAAGUGCCAGAUGGAGGGGGAUAACUACGGGAAACGGUCGCUAAUACCGCAUACCAUCCGAUGUGACCAGAUGGUAUUAGCUAGUAGGUGGGUUAAAGUCUCACCUAGGCGACGAUCCCUAGCUGGUCUGAGAGGAUGACGUGCCACACUUCAAUUGUGAAUCGGUCCAGACUCCUACGGGCGGCACUAGGGGGGAAUAUUGCACAGUGGGCGCAAGCCUGCUGCAUCGAUGCCGGGUCUAUGAGGCAGUCCUUCGGUUUUUAAAGCACUUUCAGUUGGGAGGCGUUCCCCUUUGAAGAAGCACCGGCUAACUCCGUGCUAGCAGCCGCGGUAAUAC